AUCGCUUCUCGGCCUUUUGGCUAAGAUCAAGUGUAAACAUAACAUAGAAAUGGAUUUUAGAGGAAGAGAAAUUGCAGAAUUAUGAAGGGUAACUGACACAGGUUUCUCCUUUGUGCCUAAGUUGUGUUGUGAUUCUGUGAAGUAAAGAAAAAUA
rnacentral:snRNA from 1 species